GUGGGGAAUUUUGGACAAUGGGCGCAAGCCUGAUCCAGCAAUGCCGCGUGCAGGAAGAAGGCCUUCGGGUUGUAAACUGCUUUUGUACGGUACGAAACGGUCCUGGUUAAUACCCGGGGCUAAUGACGGUACCGUAAGAAUAAGCACCGGCUAACUACGUGCCAGCAGCCGCGGUAAUACGUAGGGUGCAAGCGUUAAUCGGAAUUACUGGGCGUAAAGCGUGCGCAGGCGGUGCUGUAAGACAGGCGUGAAAUCCCCGGGCUUAACCUGGGAAUUGCGCUUGUGACUGCAGUGCUGGAGUGCGGCAGAGGGGGAUGGAAUUCCGCGUGUAGCAGUGAAAUGCGUAGAUAUGCGGAGGAACACCGAUGGCGAAGGCAAUCCCCUGGGCCUGCACUGACGCUCAUGCACGAAAGCGUGGGGAGCAAACAGGAUUAGAAACCCGUGUAGUCC
rnacentral:rRNA from 1 species